UACGUAGGGUGCGAGCGUUAAUCGGAAUUACUGGGCGUAAAGCGUGCGCAGGCGGCUUUGCAAGACAGAUGUGAAAUCCCCGGGCUUAACCUGGGAACUGCAUUUGUGACUGCAUGGCUGGAGUGCGGCAGAGGGGAUGGAAUUCCGCGUGUAGCAGUGAAAUGCGUAGAUAUGCGGAGGAACACCGAUGGCGAAGGCAUCCCUGGGCCUGCACUGACGCUCAUGCAC
rnacentral:rRNA from 1 species